UGCUAACGACCACUUUAUCCUACACUUGGACUUCCUCUGUCGAAGGCUAUUUGUGGCAUCUCAGAGGGCCAGCUCGACCGCCACUCUGCUGCUUUGUGACACACAAAACUGCUCCAAGGAUACAAACUUGAGAUUAAAAUGUGGUGCUAAAGCUAUCUGGAUGAUGUAAAUGACUGAACCCAGUGAAGGCCUCUAUAUAAACUUCUAAGAUUCUGCAGAUUAUUCCUGGUUCCAGCAUCAUGGGAGAUGGGGAAAAGCUAGAAAUCAGGAACAAAAAUAGAAAGGUGUGGCAUGAGACUAUAACCACUUCUCAGUCAAGAGAAUUUCCAAAAUGCUUGGGUUUUUUCCAGAGUACUCUGCUGUUUCCACAUGUCAAGGAUUCUAGAUAUCUGAAGAACUCAUUAAUGCAACACCCUGCGGGCAAUAGGAAAUAUUGAAGACAUCAAAAACAAUGCCUGAUGUGUCCCAGGAUGUAAUGCUGUCUUUCGGAUUCAAAGGCGAUACUAAUGAUGUGUGCAUAUGCAGUUUAAAAGACUGAAACACAGGCAAGAGUGUGUCUCCUCACACUCUGUCCACAUGAAAGCAGAGCUUUGAUUCAUAGCUGCAAACACAGUUUGCUAAGCCUGCAGGUGCUUGAACAUCAGCCACUUAGUCUCCACUCAGCCUGAAGCCUUUGUUCAGAGGUAGCUCCUUCAUCCACGCGGAUGCCUUAUCCUGUUAGCCACGGCUAGUUCCCAGCAGUCCACAGCUGUGCCACAUUGUUUCAAACGGAGCCUCAGGGCUUCCUUAAACUGUUUAUUCUGUCUUCCUUGAUUGCGGUGGUCCCACUUGCGCUCACUGCCCAGGGGCCGCUCAGGCGUGCU